rnacentral:rRNA from 1 species
UACGUAGGGUGCAGGCGUUAAUCGGAAUUACUGGGCGUAAAGCGUGCGCAGGCGGCUUCUCAAGUCAGAUGUGAAAUCCCCGGGCUUAACCUGGGAACUGCGUUUGAAACUGGGAGGCUAGAGUGCGGCAGAGGGGGGUGGAAUUCCACGUGUAGCAGUGAAAUGCGUAGAUAUGUGGAGGAACACCGAUGGCGAAGGCAGCCCCCUGGGCCAGCACUGACGCUCAUGCACGAAAGCGUGGGGAGCAAACAGGG